AAAAACUUUGAUUAAUAAGCCCUAAAAAUCAUGCAUACCCAUAAUUUCUGAGAUGAUGAUCAUGAAUGUAAUCAAGCAUACCAAUUAAACCUAUUUGUUAAUUAUGGUACGAUGAAAUUGAGCUUUUCCACUAAAGUCCUGAAAUCUUGUGCGGAAUGUCCAGUUGGGGCAGCAGCCUGCCAAAGAAGCUUUUGGAAGGCUUGGGCCCUUCUUCUUACUCUUCUCCCUUGUUCAUGUGCCAGGAUGAGCUCCAAGCUCUUGAUUCCCCGGGCAAUUUUGCGAUUGAAAAAAUAUAUAUAUACGAAAAGGGGUGGCUUUAAAAGGAAAUAUUUUGACUGACAUAAAAAUGAGAGAAAAUUGAUAGUUAAUAUAUGAAUAACGUCUAAUAAAUAAAAAAUUAAAA
rnacentral:misc_RNA from 1 species